rnacentral:rRNA from 1 species
UGCUAAUCUGCGAUAAGCGUCGGUAAGGUGAUAUGAACCGUUAUAACCGGCGAUUUCCGAAUGGGGAAACCCAGUGUGUUUCGACACACUAUCAUUAACUGAAUCCAUAGGUUAAUGAGGCGAACCGGGGGAACUGAAACAUCUAAGUACCCCGAGGAAAAGAAAUCAACCGAGAUUCCCCCAGUAGCGGCGAGCGAACGGGGAGGAGCCCAGAGCCUGAAUCAGUGUGUGUGUUAGUGGAAGCGUCUGGAAAGGCGCGCGAUACAGGGUGACAGCCCCGUACACAAAAAUGCACAUGCUGUGAGCUCGAUGAGUAGGGCGGGACACGUGGUAUCCUGUCUGAAUAUGGGGGGACCAUCCUCCAAGGCUAAAUACUCCUGACUGACCGAUAGUGAACCAGUACCGUGAGGGAAAGGCGAAAAGAACCCCGGCGAGGGGAGUGAAAAAGAACCUGAAACCGUGUACGUACAAGCAGUGGGAGCACGCUUAGGCGUGUGACUGCGUACCUUUUGUAUAAUGGGUCAGCGACUUAUAUUCUGUAGCAAGGUUAACCGAAUAGGGGAGCCGAAGGGAAACCGAGUCUUAACUGGGCGUUAAGUUGCAGGGUAUAGACCCGAAACCCGGUGAUCUAGCCAUGGGCAGGUUGAAGGUUGGGUAACACUAACUGGAGGACCGAACCGACUAAUGUUGAAAAAUUAGCGGAUGACUUGUGGCUGGGGGUGAAAGGCCAAUCAAACCGGGAGAUAGCUGGUUCUCCCCGAAAGCUAUUUAGGUAGCGCCUCGUGAAUUCAUCUCCGGGGGUAGAGCACUGUUUCGGCAAGGGGGUCAUCCCGACUUACCAACCCGAUGCAAACUGCGAAUACCGGAGAAUGUUAUCACGGGAGACACACGGCGGGUGCUAACGUCCGUCGUGAAGAGGGAAACAACCCAGACCGCCAGCUAAGGUCCCAAAGUCAUGGUUAAGUGGGAAACGAUGUGGGAAGGCCCAGACAGCCAGGAUGUUGGCUUAGAAGCAGCCAUCAUUUAAAGAAAGCGUAAUAGCUCACUGGUCGAGUCGGCCUGCGCGGAAGAUGUAACGGGGCUAAACCAUGCACCGAAGCUGCGGCAGCGACGCUUAUGCGUUGUUGGGUAGGGGAGCGUUCUGUAAGCCUGUGAAGGUGUACUGUGAGG